GCGGCCUUGGCGAAAUGGCGAUACGCGCCAGGUUUAGGUCCUGGUGGGGGAAACCCCGUGAGGGUUCGAAUCCCUCAGGCCGCACAA
rnacentral:tRNA from 1 species